CAGUAGCCGCGGUAAAACGAAGGGGGCUAGCGUUGUUCGGAUUUACUGGGCGUAAAGGGCGCGCAGGCGGUUAGAUAAGUCUGAAGUGAAAGCCCACGGCUCAACCGUGGAGGGUCAUUGGAAACUGUUAAACUUGAGUGCAGGAGAGAAAAGUGGAAUUCCUAGUGUAGCGGUGAAAUGCGUAGAGAUUAGGAGGAACACCAGUGGCGAAGGCGGCUUUUUGGCCUGCAACUGACACUGAGGCGCGAAAGCGUGGGGAGCAAACAGGAUUAGAUACCCCUGUAGUCCCUGUCUCUUAUAC
rnacentral:rRNA from 1 species